rnacentral:rRNA from 2 species
GAUAAACGCUGGCGGCGCACAUAAGACAUGCAAGUCGAACGGAAGUCGUUAAUGAUUAGGAAAGGAAAGAGAUUUGAUUUAUCAGAUGGGAAUAAUGGAAUAAGAGUUGACAAAAGGCUUUAGUGGCGGACUGGUGAGUAACACGUAGGUAACCUGCCUAUUAGAGGGGAAUAACAAUGAGAAAUCAUUGCUAAGACCGCAUAACAUUGCUUUAUUGCAUGAUAGAGUAAUCAAAGGAGAGAUCUGCUAAUAGAAGGGCCUGCGGCUGAUUAGCUAGUUGGUGAGGUAAGAGCUUACCAAGGCGACGAUCAGUAGCCGGAUUGAGAGAUUGAACGGCCACAUUGGGACUGAGAUACGGCCCAGACUCCUACGGGAGGCAGCAGUCGGGAAUAUUGGACAAUGGAGGGAACUCUGAUCCAGUGACGCCGCGUAUAGGAAGAAGUUAUUCGUAAUGUAAACUAUUGUCGACAGGGAAGAGAAAGGACAGUACCUGUGGAGGAAGCCCCGGCUAACUACGUGCCAGCAGCCGCGGUAAUACGUAGGGGGCGAGCGUUAUCCGGAAUUAUUGGGUGUAAAGGGCGCGUAGGCGGUGAUACAAGUUAGAUGUGAAAGUCCUCGGCUUAACUGAGGGAGUGCAACUAAAACUAUAUAACUUGAGUGAGAUAGAGGGAAGUGGAAUUUCUAGUGUAGAGGUGAAAUUCGUAGAUAUUAGGAGGAACACCAGUGGCGAAGGCGACUUUCUGGAUCUCAACUGACGCUGAGGCGCGAAAGUGUGGGGAGCAAACAGGAUUAGAUACCCUGGUAGUCCACACUGUAACAGAUGGAUACUAGGUGUAGGUAACGAAGUUAUCUGUGCCGACGCAAACGCAUUAAGUAUCCCACCUGGGGAGUACGAUCGCAAGGUUGAAACUCAAAGGAAUUGACGGGGGCCCGCACAAGCAGUGGAGUAUGUGGUUUAAUUCGAAGCAACGCGAAGAACCUUACCAGGGCUUGACAUAUAUAUGAAAAGUUAAGAGAUUAACAAUACCUUUGGGACAUAUAAACAGGUGGUGCAUGGUUGUCGUCAGCUCGUGUCGUGAGAUGUUGGGUUAAGUCCCGCAACGAGCGCAACCCCUGUUGUUAGUUGCUAACGAGUGAAGUCGAGCACUUUAACAAUACUGCCGGUGAUAAAUCGGAGGAAGGUGGGGAUGAGGUCAAAUCAUCAUGCCCUUUAUGUCCUGGGCUACACACGUACUACAAUGGCUGUUACAGAGUGAAGCGAGGUAGAGAUACGGAGCGAAACACAAAAGACAGUCUCAGUUCGGAUUGUAGGCUGAAAUUCGCCUACAUGAAGUCGGAAUUGCUAGUAAUUGCAGGUCAGCAUACUGCAGUGAAUACGUUCCCGGGCC